rnacentral:rRNA from 1 species
AUGCGCAAGUGGUAGGGGAGCGUUGUGUAAGUGGUUGAAGGUGAGCUGUGAGGCUUGCUGGACAUAUCACAAGUGCGAAUGCUGACAUGAGUAACGAUAAUGAGGGUGAAAAACCCUCACGCCGGAAGACCAAGGUUUCCUGUCCCAUGCUAAUCAGGGCAGGGUAAGUCGGCCCCUAAGGCGAGGCAGAAAUGCGUAGUCGAUGGGAAACGGAUUAAUAUUUCCGUACUUGGUAUAUCAGUGAAGGGGGGACGGAGAAGGCUAAGCAAGCUUGGUGUUGGUUAUCCAAGUGAAAGUGUGUAGGGCGUUGAAUUAGGUAAAUCCGGUUCAACACUAACCUGAGACACGAGACGAGUUUCUAAGGAAACGAAGUUGUUGAUGCCAUGCUUCCAGGAAAAGCCUCUAAACUUAUGAUAUAUCGAACCGUACCCCAAACCGACACAGA